GUUAGAGUCCAGAAGUGAUUGUAUAAAACAAAGGAUGUCUGUCCCGUAAUUCAACUUUAAUAUCGUCUAGUAACAUGAUAAUAAUAAACUAAACGUCCUCCCUUAGUGGUGUUAAAUAAGUAUCCCACCCAGACAAUAUAUAUAUAGCUCUAUAAGCGAAUGUAAAUAAGGCAUUUAAACAAGAGCUACCGCGUCAGGUAUUAUACCAACAUAUGAGAGAGCAAAGUGUAGUAGGUAGAAGUGAAAAUGAAAGGGAGGGAAGAACGAAAGAGAACAGGGAGGGAAAAUACUCGCCUCCUGUCAUUAUUAAAAUUAAGAUUAUCUGUACACUAAAGCUAGCAUAAUCUUCAAUUUUAUCACAUGACAGGAGGCUUCGUAUUUUGCAAUUUCAACGCUGUGAAAGAAAAGCGAAUGCCGGAUUAUCAAGAGGGCGAAAGUAGAAUGUCCUAAAGGUAGAUUCUCUGGUCCAGUCCGCCGCUCGUAAAAUGUCCGAAAGGGACGCGCCUGCCGCAUAAGCGGAAGAGGCCGCUGCCCCACGAACGGAGUGUGCUCCAAAAGUUUGGUCAAUACCGGCAAGGGAUAGUAGCCAUCUAACCCAUCUGGCCAG